AUCAAAGAAUCUUAAGAGAUUUUUUUAUUUAUUUUUUUACUUUAUUUCUGAAUUUUUUAAACUUUUCAAAAACCUCAGACUUGUGUCUCAUAAGAAACACUGCUCAUACCGUAAAAGAUCAUCGAUAAAGAUGAUGAAGUAGCUAUAAACAUUCUUAGCUUGCACAUCGAAUAGGUCACACACAUCAGUGUAUAGCAGGACAAGUAUCUCAGCGGCC
rnacentral:lncRNA from 1 species